rnacentral:lncRNA from 1 species
CCCAAAAUGUUUUGGGGCUAAAAAAGCCAAUUUUGAGGCUGGAAAUUCCCAAUUUUUGGUGGGAAAAUCCCCUAAAUUUGGAUCCUUUCUGCCUCCCACAGGUGAACCCGGAGUGCCCGGAGCUGACGGCGACUCUGGACGGCUCCGCCCUGACCGAGCCCUGGCGCUCGGGGGAGGGGCGGCCACGCCCCAGCCACACCUGGCUCUGUGCCCUCCCUGCCCUGCCCAGCGAUCGCCCCGCCCACCUGGAGGUCACCUGGGCUCCUGACUCCACCCCCCGUGACGUCACGCUGCUGCCAGGUGAGGCUCAGGCUUGCUGGCAGGAGCCAAUCGUGGAGCGGGAGCUUUUCUGGCCGGAGCUGGGCGUGGCCGAGGCUCAGGUGCUGCAGGAUCAGGUGAGGAUGUGCCGGGAGCUGCUGGAGCUG